GGGCCCGCACAAGCGGUGGAGCAUGUGGUUUAAUUCGACGCAACGCGAAGAACCUUACCUGGGUUUGACAUGCAUGGGACCGCCUUGGAAACAAGGUUUCUCUUCGGAGCCCAUGUGCAGGUGCUGCAUGGCUGUCGUCAGCUCGUGUCGUGAGAUGUUGGUUAAGUCCCGCAACGAGCGCAACCCCUAUUUUUAGUUGCCAACGGGUCAUGCCGGGAACUCUAAAGAGACUGCCGGUGAUAAACCGGAGGAAGGUGGGGAUGACGUCAAGUCCUCAUGGCCUUUAUACUCAGGGCUACACACGUGCUACAAUGGCCGGUACAAAGAGUCGCAAGACCGCGAGGUGGAGCU
rnacentral:rRNA from 1 species